rnacentral:lncRNA from 7 species
AUUUGUUUCCCUGUGUUUCCUUGGACAAAGAAAUUACUUGCUUUCAUCAGAAAACUAUCUAUAAACUGCCACUGCCAGUGCUUUCAUUGAAGUGGCCCUUGGCUGUUGGCUCCCUCCACACCACCAGAUCCAGUCAGAGAUGGAGUCUGCUGUAUUUAAGCCACCUUUUGGCCAGGAGGCCUGGUCUUCACUUGUCAAAGUGCUUGGAUCACUGCCUAGAGGAGCCAUUGUGUGCCUGAGGAAUUUGCUAGAAAAAGGUCAUCCAAAAAACUCCAUUCACCAAUUCACAGGCAUCAAAACACUGCCUGCCAAGCACAUGCAGAGUUCAGGCUUGCUCACAUGAGCAGUAAAUUCUAUCUCUGGGAAAAGUCUUUGAGUCAUUUAGGAGGUCCCACCAGCGAGUGCAACACAUGCUUUCAAUAACUGUGUGAUUUAUUUGAAUGCUUCAAGUAACAGUCUCAGUGCACAAGUGUCUUUACUUCCACUUUCUUUUGAAUUUCUCUCAUGACAGCUAACACAAAUAGUGUGCAAGCUUUCAUUUUCCUGUAGAUCUUUGAUUUCAUUAAAGACUGUAACAAAUAAAAUAUAAAUC